UACGUAGGGUGCAAGCGUUGUCCGGAAUUAUUGGGCGUAAAGAGCUCGUAGGCGGUCUGUCGAGUCUGCUGUGAAAACUCAGGGCUUAACCCUGAGCUUGCAGUGGGUACGGGCAGACUAGAGUGCGGUAGGGGAGACUGGAAUUCCUGGUGUAGCGGUGAAAUGCGCAGAUAUCAGGAGGAACACCGGUGGCGAAGGCGGGUCUCUGGGCCGUAACUGACGCUGAGGAGCGAAAGCAUGGGGAGCGAACAGG
rnacentral:rRNA from 1 species